GGAAUCUGAUUGGGUGAGAUGAAAUGGAUAUGGGCGUCGAUACCGCCGGCCGUGAUGAUGCGUCCCUCGCCCGCGAGAAUCUCCGUGGAGGCACCGAUCGCCAUCCCUUCGGUCACGCCAUCCAUGAUGUCGGGGUUCCCGGCUUUGCCGAUCGCGGAGAUCCGGCCGUCGCGGACGGCGAUGUCGGCCUUAAAGAUACCGGUAUAGUCCAGCACAAGAGCGUUGGUGAUCACGAGGUCGGGAGCACCGCUUUCGCGAGACAUCGACGGAGACUGGCCCAUGCCGUCGCG
rnacentral:sRNA from 1 species